GGGGUGCAGCAGGCGCGAAAACUUCACACUNUNCGAAAGCACGAUGAGGGAAUCCCAAGUGCUGGCUCGUAAGAGUCAGCUGUUUUUCUGUCUAGAAAACAGAGAGAGUAAGAGCUGGGUAAGACGGGUGCCAGCCGCCGCGGUAAUACCUGCAGCUCAAGUGGUGGCCGCUAUUAUUGGGCCUAAAACGUUCGUAGCCGGUNUAGUAAAUGCCUGGGUAAAUCAUACGGCUUAACCGUACGAAUUCCGGGUAGACUGCUGGACUUGGGACUGGGAGAGGCUAGAGGUACUCCUGGGGUAGAGGUGAAAUUCUGUAAUCCUAGGGGGACNACCAGUGGCGAAGGCGUNUAGCUAGAACAGGUCUGACGGUGAGGAACGAAGCCCUGGGGCGCAAACGGGAUUAGAUACCCCGGUAGUCCAGGGUGUAAACGCUGCUUGCUUGAUGUUAGUCGGGCUCCGAGCCCGAUUAGUGUCGGAGAGAAGUUGUUAAGCAAGCUGCCUGGGAGUACGCCNAGAU
rnacentral:rRNA from 1 species